CACAGGGCCCCCCUCCAUCCCCUACUUAUUAGUGAAGAUCCGUUCGGCAGAGUAGCUGUCGACAUUAUAGUUGCGCAGGCACUUUGGUGACUCUAGAGAACCUUGGGCCAAUCGCACGUCCCCGUGACAGCGACUUUGCAUUUGGAUGUCUGCCCUAUCAACUUUCGAUGCCACUUUCUGUGCCUACCAUGGUGACCACGGGUAAUGGGGAAUCAGGGUUUGAUUCCGAAGAGGGAGCCUGAGAAACGGCUACCACAUCCAAGGAAGGCAGCAGGCGCGCAAAUUACCCACUCCCGACGCGGGGAGGUAGUGACG